CGCAAGCCUGACGGAGCAACGCCGCGUGAGGGAUGAAGGCCUCUGGGCUGUAAACCUCUUUUCUCAAGGAAGAAGAUCUGACGGUACUUGAUGAAUAAGCCACGGCUAAUUCCGUGCCAGCAGCCGCGGUAAUACGGGAGUGGCAAGCGUUAUCCGGAAUUAUUGGGCGUAAAGCGUCCGCAGGCGGUUUUACAAGUCUGUCGUUAAAGCGUGGAGCUCAACUCCAUUUCAGCGAUGGAAACUGUAAGACUCGAGUGUGGUAGGGGCAGAGGGAAUUCCCGGUGUAGCGGUGAAAUGCGUAGAUAUCGGGAAGAACACCAGUGGCGAAAGCGCUCUGCUGGGCCAUAACUGACGCUCAUGGACGAAAGCCAGGGGAGCGAAAG
rnacentral:rRNA from 1 species